rnacentral:tRNA from 1 species
GCCACUUUAGCUCAGAUGGUAGAGCAACGCAUUCGUAACGCGUAGGUCGCGGGUUCGAUCCCCGUGAGUGGCU